rnacentral:rRNA from 1 species
AGAGCGAACGCUGGCGGCAGGCCUAACACAUGCAAGUCGAGCGCCGUAGCAAUACGGAGCGGCAGACGGGAGAGUAACACGUGGGAACGUGCCCUUUGGUCCGGAACAACCCAGGGAAACUUGGGCUAAUACCGGAUAAGUCCGUAAGGAGAAAGAUUUAUCGCCAAAGGAUCGGCCCGCGUCUGAUUAGCUAGUUGGUGAGGUAACGGCUCACCAAGGCGACGAUCAGUAGCUGGUCUGAGAGGAUGAUCAGCCUCACUGGGACUGAGACACGGCCCAGACUCCUACGGGAGGCAGCAGUGGGGAAUAUUGGACAAUGGGCGCAAGCCUGAUCCAGCCAUGCCGCGUGGGUGAUGAAGGCCCUAGGGUUGUAAAGCCCUUUCGGCGGGGAAGAUAAUGACGGUACCCGCAGAAGAAGCCCCGGCUAACCUCGUGCCGGCAGCCGCGGUAAUACGAAGGGGGCUAGCGUUGCUCGGAAUCACUGGGCGUAAAGCGCACGUAGGCGGCUUUUUAAGUCAGAGGUGAAAUCCUGGAGCUCAACUCCAGAACUGCCUUUGAUACUGAAGGGCUUGAGUCCGGGAGAGGUGAGUGGAACUGCGAGUGUAGAGGUGAAAUUCGUAGAUAUUCGCAAGAACACCAGUGGCGAAGGCGGCUCACUGGCCCGGUACUGACGCUGGGGUGCGAAAGCGUGGGGAGCAAACGGGAUUAGAUACCCUGGUAGUCCACGCCGUAAACGAUGGAUGCUAGCCGUUGUCGGGUUUACCCGUCAGUGGCGCAGCUAACGCAUUAAGCAUCCCGCCUGGGGAGUACGGUCGCAAGAUUAAA